rnacentral:tRNA from 1 species
GGCAACUUGGCCGAGCGGUCUAAGGCGCCAGACUCAAGCGACGAGCUUAUCCUUCCAAAGGAUCGUAUUCUGGUAUCGAAAGAUGCGUGAGUUCGAAUCUCACAGUUGUCA